UGGCGGACGGGUGAGUAAUGUCUGGGAAACUGCCCGAUGGAGGGGGAUAACUACUGGAAACGGUAGCUAAUACCGCAUAACGUCGCAAGACCAAGGAGGGGGACCUUCGGGCCUCUUGCCAUCGGAUGUGCCCAGAUGGGAUUAGCUAGUAGGUGGGGUAAAGGCUCACCUAGGCGACGAUCCCUAGCUGGUCUGAGAGGAUGACCAGCCACACUGGAACUGAGACACGGUCCAG
rnacentral:rRNA from 1 species